ACUGCAAGUCGAGCGGGAUGAAGGGAGCUUGCUCCUGGAUUCAGCGGCGGACGGGUGAGUAAUGCCUAGGAAUCUGCCUGGUAGUGGGGGAUAACGUCCGGAAACGGGCGCUAAUACCGCAUACGUCCUGAGGGAGAAAGUGGGGGAUCUUCGGACCUCACGCUAUCAGAUGAGCCUAGGUCGGAUUAGCUAGUUGGUGGGGUAAAGGCCUACCAAGGCGACGAUCCGUAACUGGUCUGAGAGGAUGAUCAGUCACACUGGAACUGAGACACGGUCCAGACUCCUACGGGAGGCAGCAGUGGGGAAUAUUGGACAAUGGGCGAAAGCCUGAUCCAGCCAUGCCGCGUGUGUGAAGAAGGUCUUCGGAUUGUAAAGCACUUUAAGUUGGGAGGAAGGGCAGUAAGUUAAUACCUUGCUGUUUUGACGUUACCAACAGAAUAAGCACCGGCUAACUUCGUGCCAGCAGCCGCGGUAAUACGAAGGGUGCAAGCGUUAAUCGGAAUUACUGGGCGUAAAGCGCGCGUAGGUGGUUCAGCAAGUUGGAUGUGAAAUCCCCGGGCUCAACCUGGGAACUGCAUCCAAAACUACUGAGCUAGAGUACGGUAGAGGGUGGUGGAAUUUCCUGUGUAGCGGUGAAAUGCGUAGAUAUAGGAAGGAACACCAGUGGCGAAGGCGACCACCUGGACUGAUACUGACACUGAGGUGCGAAAGCGUGGGGAGCAAACAGGAUUAGAUACCCUGGUAGUCCACGCCGUAAACGAUGUCGACUAGCCGUUGGGAUCCUUGAGAUCUUAGUGGCGCAGCUAACGCGAUAAGUCGACCGCCUGGGGAGUACGGCCGCAAGGUUAAAACUCAAAUGAAUUGACUGGGGCCCGCCCAAACGGAGGAGCAUGUGGUUUAAUUCAAACCACGCGAAAAACCUUAACGGCCUAGAAUGGAGAGAAUUUCCAAAAGGAUGAGAGAUUC
rnacentral:rRNA from 1 species